AAUAUAAACUGUCUUAUCGCUUCUUUAAUAGAAGAGGAAAGUCCGGGCAACGCAGAGCACCACACUUCUUAACGAGAAGGGGCCUUAUGGUUACAGAAAGUGCCACAGAAAAUAUACCGCUCUUUGUAAAAAGAGUAAGGGUGAAAUGGUAGGGUAAGAGCCUACCGCUUUGUUGGUAACAACAAAGGCAGGGUAAACCUUGUGGGUUGAAAAACUAAAUAAGCUUUGUCUUUCCUGUUAACAGGAGUAGAAUUGCUCGUUCGAUGUCGUAAGAGAGCAAAGCGGGUAAGUUGAUAGACAUUCGGGGCGACCUGCAUGCCAGACAAAUGAUAAGGAUUUUACAAUUGUAAAAUACAGAACCCGGCUUAUAGGUUUGUAUUUGGU
rnacentral:RNase_P_RNA from 1 species